GACGAACGCUGGCGGCGUGCUUAACACAUGCAAGUCGAACGGUAAGGCCCUUUGGGGUACACGAGUGGCGAACGGGUGAGUAACACGUGGGUGAUCUGCCCUGCACUUCGGGAUAAGCCUGGGAAACUGGGUCUAAUACCGGAUAGGACUCCGGACUGCAUGGUCUGGGGUGGAAAGCUUUUGCGGUGUGGGAUGGGCCCGCGGCCUAUCAGCGUGUUGGUGGGGUGAUGGCCUACCAAGGCGACGACGGGUAGCCGGCCUGAGAGGGUGACCGGCCACGCUGGGACUGAGAUACGGCCCAGACGCCUACGGGAGGCAGCAGUGGGGAAUAUUGCGCAAUGGGCGCAAGCCUGAGGCAGCGACGCCGCGUGAGGGAUGACGGCCUUCGGGUUGUAAACCUCUUUCAGCAUCGACGAAGCGAAAGUGACGGUAGGUGCAGAAGGAGGACCGGCCAACUACGUGCCAGCAGCCGCGGUAA
rnacentral:rRNA from 1 species